rnacentral:lncRNA from 1 species
CUAGGACUCCAAUUAUGUCUAAGUUGGUAUGUAUGACAAUGUCCCAUAGGUUUCUGAUGCUCAGAACUUUUCUUCAUUCUUCUUUUCUAUUUCUGGGUCAAUCUCAGCUGACCUAUUUUCAAGUUUGCUGAGUCUUUGUUUUGCUUAAGCAGAUCUGCUCUUGAGUCUAAUAAAUUUACUUUAGUUAUUGCAGCCCCCCCCCCUUUUUAUUAUCUACUGAGAAUUGAACCCAGGGGUGCUUUACUGCUGAGCUACACCCUCAGCCCUUUUAAUUUUUUUUAUUUUGAGAGAGGGUAUCACUAAAUUGCUGAGGCCAGCUUUAAAUUUAUAAUCCUCCCACUUGAGCCUUCUGAGGCAUUGAGAUUACAAGCAUGUGCCACUGCACCCUGCUAGUUAUUGCAAUUUUCAACUCCAGAAUUUCCUUUUGGUUCUUCAUCAUUUCCAUCUCCUUAUUGAUACUCUCUAUUUGUUGAGACAUUAGUCUCUUACUUAAGAACCCUUCAAUCUCAUGCUUCUCUUGAUUUAACAAACAAAUAUGGUAUCCUUUAGCUCUUCAAAUACAUUUAAAAUAGCUGAAAACUACUAAGUUUUUUGAGCACACAAAUCAU